AAAAAGAAAACAUCAGAAGUGAUAAACCAACUUAACAAAAUGUAAUUAAUCAUUUCGCUUAGAAUCGAGUACUCUUCACCGUCGUGGUCUUGUCCCUCGUGGUCGCCUUCGCCGUCGCCGGUAGCAUCGGCGGUGGACACGGAGGUGGAUUUGGUGGUGGACACGGAGGUGGAUUUGGCGGAGGACACGGAGGUGGAUUUGGUGGUGGUGGAUUCGGAGGAUCUGGAGGCUAUGGCGGCAGAGGAUUCGGAGGUGGACAUGGAGGUUUCGGUGGAGGAUUUGGCGGCGGUCAUGGUGGAUUUGGAGGUGGACAUGGAGGAUUCGGAGGCGGUCAUGGAGGAUUCGGAGGUGGCUUUGGAGGACGUUAUGGAAAGUAAACUAUUCGACGAUCUGCCACCUCAGUGGAUUGUAUAUAAAAAAAAAAACGUCUCCCUUUUU
rnacentral:lncRNA from 1 species